AACGCUAGCUACAGGCUUAACACAUGCAAGUCGUGGGGCAUCAGGAAGAAAGCUUGCUUUCUUUGCUGGCGACCGGCGCACGGGUGAGUAACACGUAUCCAACCUGCCCUUUACUCGGGGAUAGCCUUUCGAAAGAAAGAUUAAUACCCGAUAGCAUAAUGAUUCCGCAUGGUUUCAUUAUUAAAGGAUUCCGGUAAAGGAUGGGGAUGCGUUCCAUUAGGUUGUUGGUGAGGUAACGGCCCACCAAGCCUUCGAUGGAUAGGGGUUCUGAGAGGAAGGUCCCCCACAUUGGAACUGAGACACGGUCCAAACUCCUACGGGAGGCAGCAGUGAGGAAUAUUGGUCAAUGGGCGCUAGCCUGAACCAGCCAAGUAGCGUGAAGGAUGAAGGCUCUAUGGGUCGUAAACUUCUUUUAUAUAAGAAUAAAGUGCAGUAUGUAUACUGUUUUGUAUGUAUUAUAUGAAUAAGGAUCGGCUAACUCCGUGCCAGCAGCCGCGGUAAUACGGAGGAUCCGAGCGUUAUCCGGAUUUAUUGGGUUUAAAGGGAGCGUAGGUGGACUGGUAAGUCAGUUGUGAAAGUUUGCGGCUCAACCGUAAAAUUGCAGUUGAUACUGUCAGUCUUGAGUACAGUAGAGGUGGGCGGAAUUCGUGGUGUAGCGGUGAAAUGCUUAGAUAUCACGAAGAACUCCGAUUGCGAAGGCAGCUCACUGGACUGCAACUGACACUGAUGCUCGAAAGUGUGGGUAUCAAACAGGAUUAGAUACCCUGGUAGUCCACACAGUAAACGAUGAAUACUCGCUGUUUGCGAUAUACAGUAAGCGGCCAAGCGAAAGCAUUAAGUAUUCCACCUGGGGAGUACGCCGGCAACGGUGAAACUCAAAGGAAUUGACGGGGGCCCGCACAAGCGGAGGAACAUGUGGUUUAAUUCGAUGAUACGCGAGGAACCUUACCCGGGCUUAAAUUGCAGUGGAAUGAUGUGGAAACAUGUCAGUGAGCAAUCACCGCUGUGAAGGUGCUGCAUGGUUGUCGUCAGCUCGUGCCGUGAGGUGUCGGCUUAAGUGCCAUAACGAGCGCAACCCUUAUCUUUAGUUACUAACAGGUUAUGCUGAGGACUCUAGAGAGACUGCCGUCGUAAGAUGUGAGGAAGGUGGGGAUGACGUCAAAUCAGCACGGCCCUUACGUCCGGGGCUACACACGUGUUACAAUGGGGGGUACAGAAGGCAGCUAGCGGGUGACCGUAUGCUAAUCCCAAAAUCCUCUCUCAGUUCGGAUCGAAGUCUGCAACCCGACUUCGUGAAGCUGGAUUCGCUAGUAAUCGCGCAUCAGCCACGGCGCGGUGAAUACGUUCCCGGGCCUUGUACACACCGCCCGUCAAGCCAUGGGAGCCGGGGGUACCUGAAGUACGUAACCGCAAGGAUCGUCCUAGGGUAAAACUGGUGA
rnacentral:rRNA from 1 species